rnacentral:rRNA from 1 species
UACGUAGGGGGGCAAGCGUUGUCCGGAUUUAUUGGGCGUAAAGAGCGUGUAGGCGGCUUUACAGGUCCGUUGUGAAAACUCGAGGCUCAACCUCGAGACGCCGGUGGAAACCGUAAGGCUAGAGUCCGGAAGAGGAGAGUGGAAUUCCUGGUGUAGCGGUGAAAUGCGCAGAUAUCAGGAAGAACACCCGUGGCGAAGGCGGCUCUCUGGGACGGUACUGACGCUGAGACGCGAAAGCGUGGGGAGCGAACAGG